AUAUUGGGCAAUGGAGGCAACUCUGACCCAGCCAUGCCGCGUGCAGGAAGAAGGCCUUCUGGGUUGUAAACUGCUUUUGACAGGGAAGAAAAAGAGUGUGCGCACUCCACUGACGGUACCUGUAGAAUAAGCACCGGCUAACUCCGUGCCAGCAGCCGCGGUAAUACGGAGGGUGCAAGCGUUGUCCGGAUUUAUUGGGUUUAAAGGGUGCGUAGGCGGCCUGUUAAGUCAAUGUUGAAAGUUUGCCGCUUAACGGUAAAAAUGGCAAUGAUACUGGCGGGCUUGAGUACAGACGAGGUAGGCGGAAUUGAUAAUGUAGCGGUGAAAUGCAUAGAUAUUAUCAGGAACUCCGAUUGCGAAGGCAGCUUACUAGGCUGUAACUGACGCUGAGGCACGAAAGUGUGGGGAGCAAAC
rnacentral:rRNA from 1 species